CUUGAGCGAGCCCAGCCACAGCGGGCCCCGGGUGCGGUCCUGGCCGUAGGUGGCCAGCAGCGCGUGCGCCUC
rnacentral:antisense_RNA from 2 species